AUUGAACGCUGGCGGCAGGCCUAACACAUGCAAGUCGAACGAGUGGCGGACGGGUGAGUAAUGUCUGGGAAACUGCCUGAUGGAGGGGGAUAACUACUGGAAACGGUAGCUAAUACCGCAUACCAUCGGAUGUGCCCAGAUGGGAUUAGCGAGUAGGUGGGGUAAAGGCUCACCUAGGCGACGAUCCCUCGCUGGUCUGAGAGGAUGACCAGCAAAACGGGAACUGAGACACGGUCCAGACUCCUACGGGAGGCAGCAGUGGGGAAUAUUGCAAAAUGGGCGCAAUCCUGAUGCAGCAAUGCCGCUUGUAUGAAGAAGGCCUUCUGGUGUUAAAGUACUUUCAGCGGGGAGGCGUUACCCGCAGAAGAAGCACCGGCUAACUCCGGGCCAGCAGCCGCGGUAAUUC
rnacentral:rRNA from 1 species